rnacentral:rRNA from 1 species
GAUGAACGCUGGCGGCGUGCUUAACACAUGCAAGUCGAGCGAGAAGUUUUGAAAAGAUUCUUCGGAUGUAAUUUAAAAUGGAAAGCGGCGGACGGGUGAGUAACGCGUAGGCAACCUGCCCCAUACAAAGGGAUAGCAUUUGGAAACGAAUAUUAAUACCUUAUGAAACUUAACUAGUGCAUGCUAGGUAGGUCAAAGAUUUAUCGGUUUGGGAUGGGCCUGCGUCUGAUUAGCUAGUUGGUGAGGUAACGGCUCACCAAGGCGACGAUCAGUAGCCGACCCGGAGAGGUGAACGGCCAAAUUGGAACUGGAACACCGUCCAAAACCCUACGGGGGGGAGGAGUGGGGAAUAUUGCACAAUGGGGGAAAAGCUGAUGCAGCAACGCCGCGUGAACGAUGAAGGCCUUUGGGUCGUAAAGUUCUGUUCUAGGUGAAGAAAACUGACAGUAACCUAGGAGGAAGCCCCGGCUAACUCCGUG